rnacentral:tRNA from 1 species
CAUUAUUUUUAUUCAGAGUUUAACUGAAACCCUUGACCUGAAAAAUCAAUGUUGUAUUCAACUAUAAAAACUA